rnacentral:rRNA from 1 species
AUUGAACGCUGGCGGCAUGCCUUACACAUGCAAGUCGAACGGCAGCACGGGUGCUUGCACCUGGUGGCGAGUGGCGAACGGGUGAGUAAUACAUCGGAACGUACCUUAUCGUGGGGGAUAACGCAGCGAAAGCUGUGCUAAUACCGCAUACGCCCUGAGGGGGAAAGCGGGGGAUCGAAAGACCUCGCGCGAUUAGAGCGGCCGAUGCCUGAUUAGCUUGUUGGUGGGGUAAAAGCCCACCAAGGCGACGAUCAGUAGCUGGUCUGAGAGGACAAUCAGCCACACUGGGACUGAGACACGGCCCAGACUCCUACAGGAGGCAGCAGUGGGGAAUUUUGGACAAUGGGGGCAACCCGGAUCCAGCAAUGCCGCGUGAGUGAAGAAGGCCUUCGGGUUGUAAAGCUCUUUUGUCAGGGAAGAAACACCGGCUCUAACACAGUCCGGGAAUGACGGUACCUGAAGAAUAAGCACCGGCUAACUACGUGCCAGCAGCCGCCGUAA